rnacentral:rRNA from 1 species
AGCUCAGCUUGGAAAUUUCCUCUGGGCUUGAAUUGUAGUCUUUCGAUGCAUUGCCAGCGGAGGCGCAGAUGUAAGCCUCUUGGAAAAGAGCAUCAAUGAGGGUGAGAGUCCCAUUUGUCAUCUGCAGUCCNCUGUUUACGGUGUGCUUUCUAAGAGUCACGUUCCUUGGGAUUGGAGCGCNAAUUGGGUGGNAAAUUUCAUCUAAAGCUAAAUAUUGGUUCGAGACCGAUAGCAAACAAGUACC